UGGACCAUCUGGGGCUGGAAGUCCACUGUUUAGUCAAGAACAGGUACAGCAUACAAUACAAAAUUCCCUAGCAAGGUGCCUCAUCACUCACUUGAUGGAGAAACCUCUUGAAUUCAGAAGGUACUUCAUACUCAAUCAGUCCUUGUCCUUUCUACU
rnacentral:sRNA from 1 species